rnacentral:rRNA from 1 species
UACGUAGGGUGCAAGCGUUAAUCGGAAUCACUGGGCGUAAAGCGUGCGCAGGCGGUUAUGCAAGACAGAUGUGAAAUCCCCGGGCUUAACCUGGGAACCGCAUUUGUGACUGCAUAGCUGGAGUACGGCAGAGGGGGAUGGAAUUCCGCGUGUAGCAGUGAAAUGCGUAGAUAUGCGGAGGAACACCGAUGGCGAAGGCAGUCCCCUGGGCCUGUACUGACGCUCAUGCACGAAAGCGUGGGGAGCAAACAGG